rnacentral:rRNA from 1 species
UCUUGGUCAUUUAGAGGAAGUAAAAGUCGUAACAAGGUUUCCGUAGGUGAACCUGCGGAAGGAUCAUUAAUGAAUUGUUAGGACGCUCUUUUUAGAGGUCCGACCCCUUCAUUUCCUUACACUGUGCACACACUUCUUUUUCACACAUUUUUAACACAUCAGUAUAAGAAUGUAAAUAGUCUCUUAAUUGAGCAUAAAAUAAAUAAAACUUUCAGCAACGGAUCUCUUGGCUCUCGCAUCGAUGAAGAACGCAGCGAAUUGCGAUAAGUAAUGUGAAUUGCAGAAUUCAGUGAAUCAUCGAAUCUUUGAACGCACCUUGCACUCUUUGGUAUUCCGAAGAGUAUGUCUGUUUGAGUGUCAUGAAACUCUCAACCCCCCUGUUUUGUAAUGAAACGGGCGUGGGCUUGGUUUAUGGCUGUCUGUCGGCGUAAUUGCCGGCUCAGCUGAAAUACACGAGCAACCCAUUUUGAAAUAGACGGUUUGACUCGGCGUAAUAAUUAUUACCGCUGAGGACGUCUUCUUUAAAUAUCAGUGGUGCUUCAAAUGCGCUUUUGAUUAAGCAUUUUCAACUUUAGACCUCAAAUCAGUCAGGACUACCCGCUGAACUUAAGCAUAUCAAUAAGCGGAGGAA